rnacentral:rRNA from 1 species
GAUGAACGCUGGCGGCGUGCCUAACACAUGCAAGUCGAGCGAGGGUUUGCUCAGUAUUGAGUAUUCUAAAACUAGAAUGUUCAAUUCUGAGCAAAACCAAGCGGCGGACGGGUGAGUAACGCGUGGGUAACCUGCCCUAUACACAUGGAUAACAUACUGAAAAGUUUACUAAUACAUGAUAAUAUAUAUUUGUGGCAUCGCAGAUAUAUCAAAGUGUUAGCGGUAUAGGAUGGACCCGCGUCUGAUUAGCUAGUUGGUGAGAUAACUGCCCACCAAGGCGACGAUCAGUAGCCGACCUGAGAGGGUGAUCGGCCACAUUGGAACUGAGACACGGUCCAAACUCCUACGGGAGGCAGCAGUGGGGAAUAUUGCACAAUGGGCGAAAGCCUGAUGCAGCAACGCCGCGUGAACGAUGAAGGUCUUCGGAUCGUAAAGUUCUGUUGCAGGGGAAGAUAAUGACGGUACCCUG